rnacentral:rRNA from 1 species
GACGAACGCUGGCGGCGUGCUUAACACAUGCAAGUCGAACGGAAAGGCCCUGCUUUUGUGGGGUGCUCGAGUGGCGAACGGGUGAGUAACACGUGAGUAACCUGCCCUUGACUUUGGGGUAACUUCAGGAAACUGGGGCUAAUACCGGAUAGGAGCUCCUGCUGCAUGGUGGGGGUUGGAAAGUUUCGGCGGUUGGGGAUGGACUCGCGGCUUACCAGCUUGUUGGUGGGGUAGUGGCUUACCAAGGCUUUGACGGGUAGCCGGCCUGAGAGGGUGACCGGCCACAUUGGGACUGAGAUACGGCCCAGACUCCUACGGGAGGCAGCAGUGGGGAAUAUUGCACAAUGGGCGGAAGCCUGAUGCAGCAACGCCGCGUGCGGGAUGACGGCCUUCGGGUUGUAAACCGCUUUCGCCUGUGACGAAGCGUGAGUGACGGUAAUGGGUAAAGAAGCACCGGCUAACUACGUG